UACAGAGGGUGCGAGCGUUAAUCGGAUUUACUGGGCGUAAAGCGUGCGUAGGCGGCUUUUUAAGUCGGAUGUGAAAUCCCCGAGCUUAACUUGGGAAUUGCAUUCGAUACUGGGAAGCUAGAGUAUGGGAGAGGAUGGUAGAAUUCCAGGUGUAGCGGUGAAAUGCGUAGAGAUCUGGAGGAAUACCGAUGGCGAAGGCAGCCAUCUGGCCUAAUACUGACGCUGAGGCACGAAAGCAUGGGGAGCAAACAGG
rnacentral:rRNA from 1 species